UGGGGAAUCUUGCGCAAUGGGCGAAAGCCUGACGCAGCGACGCCGCGUGAGUGAUGAAGGCCUUCGGGUUGUAAAGCUCUGUGGGGCGAGAAGAAUUAGUGCAGCCUAAUACGCUGCAUGAUGACGGUAUCGCCUUAGCAAGCACCGGCUAACUCUGUGCCAGCAGCCGCGGUAAGACAGAGGGUGCAAACGUUGUUCGGAAUUACUGGGCGUAAAGCGAGUGUAGGCGGUCUGAAAAGUCGGAUGUGAAAGCCCCGGGCUCAACCCGGGAAGUGCAUUCGAAACUGCCAGGCUAGAGUAUCGGAGAGGUUGGUGGAAUUCUCGGUGUAGAGGUGAAAUUCGUAGAUAUCGAGAGGAACACCGGUGGCGAAGGCGGCCAACUGGACGAAUACUGACGCUGAGACUCGAAAGCGUGGGGAGCAAACAG
rnacentral:rRNA from 1 species